AUGAAGGGGAAAAGAUCAGCCCAUGACACAUAAAUGUAGUAGUUAUUCACAGCAUCAGUAACUAACGGGAACUUGGAGCAACACCUGGCUAGAGAACUCAUGCCUUGCAGACAGAAAAAGUUGAGAAGAAACCUGUGCAAAUAAUGGGGGCUUCUUAAGAUUGAAACUGAGGGAUGAAUACCUUUUAUCCCAGCAGGUAAGUAACAGACUCUACUUAUGCUGAGCUUUUUAUUUUCUUAGGGGAGCCUCCAGACUUCCUAAAAUGCUCUAGCAAGUUCUACGCCAAAAAAUGAUGCAAAUAUCAGAAAUGUUGGUUAUUUGUAACCAAAGAUUUCUGACAAAACACAACUAGUUGUUAAGUGGAUACAUCUUUUUUAGUAAGUUUUGGCUAUCCUACAGAAUUAUGGCCUCUUUUGAUUUUUAAUUGAAGAUAAUUUAGGACACUCAACACAAGAGUGAGUUUUCAUAAAUAGCUGAAAACAACUUAAUUAGAAAUCAAUUACAUAUAUGUAUGGGAAUAAGUCACAGCCUGAACCAAUGAUUGAGCAUCUGGUGAAGGGACACAGCCAGCCUGGGAGCACAGGUGGAAGCAAUUCAGCUGCAUAACCAGAAGGGGUGGAGCCUGGUUCCAGCCCUCCCUAAGCCUCACUGAAGGGCUGGCAGCUACAAGAGAAGCAUCUCUAACUGGAGAUCCCUCCUUCUGGAGUGUCUGGUGAGCUCUGAGCCUUAGGACAGUUGGACCUAAAAAGAGGCAGAACUUAACUGUUAAGAGCAAAUAGCCAUCUCCUGCAGCAAACACUUCCCCAGUGUGGCAGCUACCCACUAACAGCGGGUUCACCACAGGAAUGCUAGCUGCCUUUUUCCAGGCACCACUACAGGAAUGCGGAAGUUUCAGGAGUUUUGUGGAAAAGGAUGAUUCUCCCCCAAAUCAGCCAAGCCAGCAGCUGCUUUUUGUUAAUACGAAUUCUGUGUGAAGCUGUCUUACAACUGUCCAUAGUUAGUCUUAUGAGUACUUCUGAGUAUCCGAGACAUCAAAACUUUUACAGGUAACUCAUUUUAC